UGCGUAGGCGGGUUUUAAGUCAGGGGUGAAAUCCUGGAGCUCAACUCCAGAACUGCCUUUGAUACUGAAGAUCUUGAGUCCGGGAGAGGUGAGUGGAACUGCGAGUGUAGAGGUGAAAUUCGUAGAUAUUCGCAAGAACACCAGUGGCGAAGGCGGCUCACUGGCCCGGUACUGACGCUGAGGCACGAAAGCGUGGGGAGCAAACA
rnacentral:rRNA from 1 species